AUGGCCCCCCCACCCAGUUAAAGACCCUGAUCCCCCUUUUCUUCUCCCGUUUGCAGUAAACAACCAGGGAUCGGACAGCUCUCUCGAUGAUAAGAUUUCCCAUGAACCUGUGAAAGGAACCACAGCAGGCGACCAGGAUUUUCCAGGAAAUGCGGAGCCCUUGGUCAGAACUGCAAAUCUUUAGUACUCUUACUUGUGCCAUCCUGUUGAACCUCCGUGGGAAGAAACCAUUUUUGCAGAGGGGUGUCUGUCAGUUUCGGUUGGGACUGUUUUGUUCUCUGAAGCCACGACGUGGGAGAAUGAUCUCUCCCCUUUGCCAUGACCACUGCUUCAGAGGAGAAUGAUUUUAGUAUCGUGGCCACUCUUCCUUGGUUCUGGUUCUGAUCUGUGAGGGCUAGCACUUGUUCUUCUGACCCCGUGCCCAUCCUGGCUACUGAAAUCUUGUAAGAAGCAGAUGAAGGAAACUGUGAUCAUUAUAGAUCAAUAACUAACUCAGGGUGUGUUUCCUUUGCCGCUAAAGGAGGCACUUAUCUGUCUGUUACUUUAAAAGCCAUCAUUAAAGAAGAAUGAGGAGGCCAAUUGUUGCCUGAAAUGGGACAAGUUGCUGGAGAGAACUGUUGCAGAACUACUCCAGGUCUUCAUGGAUGAAUCAUCUGCUCCAGACCCCUCUCAGUCUGGUUUCAGGCCAGGCUAUGGGAUGGUGGUCUUAGCUGAUGAUGAUCUCUGCCGGAAUGUAGACAAAGGACAGGCCUCAGGUGUUGCUAUUACUGGAUUUAUUGGUGGACUCCCAUACUGUAGACUGGGCCAUCUUGUUGAGAUGUUUAGAGGUAGAAGUAGAGAUUAAGCGAUGUGCUUUGGACUGGUUUACAUAUUUCCUUAGAGAUCUCAGGGGGUUGCCAUUGGAGUCGCAGUGUCGCAUAUGUCUUGUGAAUGUUACGAAUCAGACCCUGAAGUCCUACGAAUCAGACCCUCAGUCCAUCAGGAUCAGUAUUGGGAACUCAGACUGGCGGCAUCUCUCCUGGGUCUCAGGUAGAGGUCCUUUAUAUCACAUACUGCUUAGUCCUUUUUUAACUGGAAAUGCUGGGAAUUGAACCUGGCACCUUCUGAAUGCAAUACAGAACCUCUCUUGCUGAGCCACAGCCCCUCCUGUGUUAUCCAAUCUACGUAAAGCCCUUUGGGGAGAUCAUUUGUGGGUUUAGAGCACAUUGUUAUCUGAUUACACCCCGAUCUCCAUUUCUUUAUCUAGCCCACUUGGUGCUACCAAAGAGGUCCACUUGGAAACUCCAGUGGGUACCGAAUAGCACAGCUCACAUACUAUCGGUGCUCCAGGCAGAACAUGCAUGUUCCGCAGUCACUCCACUGGUUCUCAUGGCCCCUUCUUACAUCCCCAGGGUAAGGCUGAUCACCACCCUGGGGUCGGGCAGCAAUUUUCCCCAGGCCAGUUUAGCUAGGGAUCCUGACGGUAUUUUGCCAUUUUCUGGGCAUGGAGCAGGGGUCACUGGGGGUGUGGGGAGGUAGCUGUGAAUUUACUGCACUGUACAGGGGGUUGGACUAGAUGAUCCUAGAAGUGCCUUCCAACCCUAUGAUUCUGUGAUUCUACCCAUCAGUUAUUUGAGUCCAAGGUGUCAGUUACCACCUUCAGGGCCUAUGACCCAUAUAUCAGUAGAAUUGCCUCUCCCCAUAUACUUAACUGCGGUAAUUGGUAAUCUGAGCUAAGAUUCCUGAAGCUGCCACCUCACAAAGGGACUCCCACAACUCUUGUCGUUCCACAAAUGAUGUAAAACAAAAAGUUAGAGAGGGCAUUUUUAAAAAGGGGAAUAGGAUCAUCGUAUAUGAGAAAAUUUGUAUCGUUUUCAUCCCUUGGUUCGUCGUGUAUGUUACACUUUUGUACUGUUACUGCAAUUUUGUAAUCCAGUUUUCUUUCCCUGUUUGUUGGAUGCAUUUCACUGUUUCGUUGUGUGAAGUAUACUGCUGUUAAUGGCACCGGUCCCUAAUUUGGGGUUCCCAUUUUAUUGCACAUCUGGCUGUAUAUAUUAUAUUGGUGUGAUUGUUUUCGAUGGUGUCGUGUGCUUUGAACCUCAUAGAGAAAUUCAGAAUAUAAAUGAUGUAAAGUAUAUAAGCAAAUGGUGUUUCAUGAGUCUAGAUGCUUGCUAUGAAACCAUUUACAUUUUCUUCUCUUGUAGCAGCUGCUUUGAAAUAUAAAUAUUUGGCUAGUGUGAUCUCUUUUCCUAGUUGUGAUGAGGUCUCAAAAAAGACACAACAGAAGACCAGUUUUUGUGUUCUUGUUCACAUUGAACAUCACCUUGUUGCCAGCACUCAUUUCAGAGGGAGUUUUUGUUUGGGUGUCUGGGUCGUCCGAGGCCAUUUCUGCACAGAUUAUCUGCCCUGAGUUCAGUGAUUUGGGGAAGCAGUUCUUUUCCCCCUGCUUCCCCUCGUGGGGUUUCCCUGACUUUUCUCAGAUCUUCCUUUGUCCUGAUAGGUGUAGCAGGUUCUCUGGAUUCUCAGCUUUCUUUUUAGCCCUUUCUCUUGCAGAGUUAUAAGGGGAAAGGCAUAUCUUUGCAAAGGAAGCGGUAGAGAUUUACCUUUUUUAAUGAAAGCAGGUAAUUCAGAGAACCUGCUGUACCUAUAGCUACAAUGGUAUAUCAACUUUAUGAUAUUCUAGUGCCAAUUUUUUUUUAAAAAAAUUGCAAAAUCUCAGGUGUCCCAGAGGAGGUGUGUCGCCUCUUCUGCGAGAGUGGGGGAGGGAAACUGUUGGGAAACCUGCACCAGCAAUGGGGGAACCACAAAAUUCUGUUUUAUGUGGAAGACACCCAAGUCUCUGGCAUCUGUUUAUUGCCUAAUGGUGCAAUCUGGCUUUAUUGCCUUACUGAUCCAGAGGAGUUAGCCGUGUUAGUCUGUAGUAGCAAAAUAGUGAAGAGUCCAGUAGCACUUUUAAGACUAACCAACUUUAUUGUAGCAUAAGCUUUCGAGAGCUACAGCUCGAUGCAUCUGACGAAGAGAGCUGUGGCGCUCGAAAACUUACGCUAUAAUAAAGUUGGUUAUUCUUAAAGUUGCUACUGGACUCUUGUUUGUUUACUGUAUUAUGCAGGUCUUCCUUACAGUGUUUCUAUAAUUCUGUAACUUGCCUUGAAUCUCAGUGAGAAUGGUGGAUAAAAAAUGAAACAAAUAAAUACUUCUGUGAAUGACCA